ensembl:snRNA U6 U6 spliceosomal RNA
AUGCUCACUUCAGCAGCACAUACACUGAAACAGGAAGGAUACAGAGAAGAUUAGCACAUGCUCCUGGAUAACAUGCAAAUUUGCGAACUAUUCCAUAUUAAA